rnacentral:misc_RNA from 1 species
GUUGGAGCUUCUAUAUCUGGUGAUAGUGCGGAACCUGGUCAUUCUCAGCCCUUGAACCUGGCAGAUAGAAGCCCAAGAGUUGCUGUUUUUCCCGAUUGUCCCUCUCCUGCUACACCGUCGUCAGUUGCUUGUAGUUCUUCUCCAGGUCUUGAGGAUAAACAAUUAGUCAAGGCAACAAACAUUGAUCAGGAUGUUGGUAAUUUAUGUG